AUAGGGGAGCCGAAGGGAAACCGAGUCUUAAUUGGGCGUUAAGUUGCAGGGUAUAGACCCGAAACCCGGUGAUCUAGCCAUGGGCAGGUUGAAGGUUGGGUAACACUAACUGGAGGACCGAACCGACUAAUGUUGAAAAAUUAGCGGAUGACCUGUGGCUGGGGGUGAAAGGCCAAUCAAACCGGGAGAUAGCUGGUUCUCCCCGAAAGCUAUUUAGGUAGCGCCUCGUGAA
rnacentral:rRNA from 1 species